AGUGAACGCUGGCGGUAGGCCUAACACAUGCAAGUCGAACGGCAGCACAGUAAGAGCUUGCUCUUACGGGUGGCGAGUGGCGGACGGGUGAGGAAUACAUCGGAAUCUACUUUUUCGUGGGGGAUAACGUAGGGAAACUUACGCUAAUACCGCAUACGACCUACGGGUGAAAGCAGGGGAUCUUCGGACCUUGCGCGAUUGAAUGAGCCGAUGUCGGAUUAGCUAGUUGGCGGGGUAAAGGCCCACCAAGGCGACGAUCCGUAGCUGGUCUGAGAGGAUGAACAGCCACUCUGACCUAGGAACCGGUCAGACUUCCAAGGGGAGGAGGCGGUGGGGAAUUUGGACCAAUGGGGGAAAGCUUGUUCAGGCCAAACGGGGUGGGUGAGGAAGGCCUUCGGGUUGUAAAGCCCUUUUGUUGGGAAAAAAAGCCGGAAGGUUAAUACCCCGCUGUUCUGAGGGUACCAAAAGAAUAAGCACCGGCUAACUUCGU
rnacentral:rRNA from 1 species